GAAAAACACACAUUGUAAAAUAAGCAUUCUUCAAAGACAACCUGAAGACAUCUGGGAAUUCCAAAGGCUGAAAAUUCCAUGAGUUCAUAGAAGCUUUCACUAAUUCUACUGAUCUAAAGACAAAAAGGAAAGAGUCAACUGUGUGCCCAAACUCAUUUCUGAUGAUUUCUUCCAUCCUACCCCUUCUGCCUCUCUGGGGGUGGCUGUGCCUGUAAAAAACAUUGAAAUUGUCAGGAACAGAGUCAGCUUUCAAGAUUGGAAUGUCAGAGUAGAGUCUUCUUUUCUUUGGACCAGAGGAGGCUUGGUUCGAUUUAUGAUCUUUGAUGUCUCUCCUUUCCUAGUCUUGGCUCUUACAAAUCUAUAUUACCUCUGCUGUCACAGCUUAAGUGUAUCUUUUGGCUUCAGGAAUUGUGGGAGUAUUCAGGAGGCUCAAUUUUUAUGGUAGCAAAACACCUCUACAAACAAACAAAAAGUUCACCAAAAAUAGAAGAGGACAUCAACAAAAUGAUCAGGUGCUUCUCCAAUUUAAUUGUUUGGAAGCAGUCACUGGAAGCAACACUAUGUGACUCAGCUUUGGUGAUACAGUCCAGCUGGGGUCUGACAGGUAAAUAAUUACCACUCAUCAGGGCCUAAAUGAAUUUAGGUUCUUUAAAGUCAGAUGUGGGGAAGGGGGUAAGGGUUAUAAAUGAACUGUUAGCAAUAUCAGGAGAAAUAGGAGCUGAGCAGUCUAGUCUUAGCCGAAAACAACAAAGAGAAGAGUUAACAAAAUAAGACCUCCACUGCCACAUGUAUUAUAGCACAGAGCCCUCUGGCUGGGGCUCUCUCAUUCCCCAUCCAGGCAUAAUGAGCUUCGGGAUCUUAGGAGCCUCUCCGUAAAACUGAGUUGGGUGAUGAGCUAUUUCCUUUUCAAUCCUCACAAGGUAUAAGCUGAUGAUUUCAUGAUGCAGAAUUCAGAUUUCUUAACAUAAAAAGG
rnacentral:lncRNA from 1 species